rnacentral:rRNA from 1 species
GACGAACGCUGGCGGCGUGCUUAACACAUGCAAGUCGAACGGAAAGGCCCUGCUUUUGUGGGGUGCUCGAGUGGCGAACGGGUGAGUAACACGUGAGUAACCUGCCCUUGACUUUGGGAUAACUUCAGGAAACUGGGGCUAAUACCGGAUAGGAGCUCCUGCUGCAUGGUGGGGGUUGGAAAGUUUCGGCGGUUGGGGAUGGACUCGCGGCUUAUCAGCUUGUUGGUGGGGUAGUGGCUUACCAAGGCUUUGACGGGUAGCCGGCCUGAGAGGGUGACCGGCCACAUUGGGACCGAGAUACGGCCCAGACUCCUACGGGAGGCAGCAGUGGGGAAUAUUGCACAAUGGACGGAAGCCUGAUGCAGCAACGCCGCGUGCGGGAUGACGGCCUUCGGGUUGUAAACCGCUUUCGCCUGUGACGAAGCGUGAGUGACGGUAAUGGGUAAAGAAGCACCGGCUAACUACGUG